AGUGGUCCUUAUGAAAGCAAUUGAGCAACGCUGAUAGUACUUUCAGUGCCGACAAGUAUUCAGAAAGCAAACUGGCUGGUAUUUGAUGUUUGAUGUUUACAGGCAAGAAAGCGACUUUAUUUGGACAGGUGCUGGAAGACAUAAUUAUUGAAGUUGAAGGGGGGAUCAAAAGAAAAAAAAAGUAAAUGAAGGGGAAUACCUAUUUUAGUAGAGAGAGAUUGAAGAGUCUUCCAUUGAUGGGGUCAUGACAGCUGCACCAAACAUGACACUGCUUGCUCCUAGCCAAAAAGUAUAAUUGGCUCCCAAGUUUCCAUGACAGGAUAUUCUCAAUUGAUUUCUCUCCUUAAAAUAUAGAAAUACAUAUAUGUAUAUAUAUACACCCACCCACAGAGAUACACUAAUGAAU